ACUUACUUGGAUAACUGUGGUAAUUCUAGAGCUAAUACAUGCAAACAGAGCUCCGACCGGAGACGGAAGGAGUGCUUUUAUUAGAUCAAAACCAAUCGGUGGCGGGCUUGCUCGUCAUCGUACAACUUGGUGACUCUGAAUAACUUUACGCUGAUCGCACGGUCUUAGCACCGGCGACGCAUCUUUCAAAUGUCUGCCUUAUCAACUGUCGAUGGUAGGUUCUGCGCCUACCAUGGUUGUAACGGGUAACGGGGAAUCAGGGUUCGAUUCCGGAGAGGGAGCCUGAGAAACGGCUACCACAUCCAAGGAAGGCAGCAGGCGCGCAAAUUACCCACUCCCGGCACGGGGAGGUAGUGACGAAAAAUAACGAUACGGGACUCAUCCGAGGCCCCGUAAUCGGAAUGAGUACACUCUAAACCCUUUAACGAGGAUCAAUUGGAGGGCAAGUCUGGUGCCAGCAGCCGCGGUAAUUCCAGCUCCAAUAGCGUAUAUUAAAGUUGUUGCGGUUAAAAAGCUCGUAGUCGAAUUUGUGUCUCGUGCCGCUGGUUCAUCGUUCGCGGUGUUAACUGGCGAGUCGCGAGACGUCCUGCCGGUGGGCUUAGCUCGCAAGAGCGGCCCAACUCAAUCCUGCCGCGGUGCUCUUCAUUGAGUGUCGAGGUGGGCCGGCACGUUUACUUUGAACAAAUUAGAGUGCUUAAAGCAGGCUAAAACUUCGCCUGAAUACUGUGUGCAUGGAAUAAUGGAAUAGGACCUCGGUUCUAUUUUGUUGGUUUUCGGAACCCCGAGGUAAUGAUUAAUAGGAACGGAUGGGGGCAUUCGUAUUGCGACGUUAGAGGUGAAAUUCUUGGAUCGUCGCAAGACGGACAGAAGCGAAAGCAUUUGCCAAAAACGCUUUCAUUGAUCAAGAACGAAAGUUAGAGGUUCGAAGGCGAUCAGAUACCGCCCUAGUUCUAACCAUAAACGAUGCCAGCUAGCGAUCCGUCGACGUUCCUCCGAUGACUCGACGGGCAGCUUCCGGGAAACCAAAGCUUUUGGGUUCCGGGGGAAGUAUGGUUGCAAAGCUGAAACUUAAAGGAAUUGACGGAAGGGCACCACCAGGAGUGGAGCCUGCGGCUUAAUUUGACUCAACACGGGAAACCUCACCAGGCCCGGACACCGGAAGGAUUGACAGAUUGAGAGCUCUUUCUUGAUUCGGUGGGUGGUGGUGCAUGGUCGUUCUUAGUUGGUAGAGCGAUUUGUCUGGUUAAUUCCGAUAACGAACGAGACUCUAGCCUGCUAAAUAGGCGUAUUUUGACAUCCUAAAGGCCCGCCGGCUUGGGGUUCGCUCCUUGUCGUGCGCGGUUUUUACUGUCGGCGUACAAACAAUUCUUCUUAGAGGGACAGGUGGCUUUUAGCCGCACGAGAUUGAGCAAUAACAGAUCUGUAAUGCCCUUAGAUGUUCUGGGCCGCACGCGCGCUACACUGAAGGAAUCAGCGUGUCCUCCCUGGCCGAGUGGCCCGGGUAACCCGCUGAACCUCCUUCGUGCUAGG
rnacentral:rRNA from 1 species